UAGUUAAUCAGAAUUUCGGUAUAUGUGGUACGGUAGUGGUACACCAUUUCACGUCAUCAAGGGUGUUUGGGCAUAUACAUAUCCGGUCUAGGGUAACGAAAGACUUAUGCUUUCCGUUCGUCGUCUUCUUCCUCUCUACGUGCCUUUCAAAUCAUCAAGACACUAUUUUUCUCUUAAAAAAAUAUCUAUGAAUAAUAAUGGAGGUUUUGGCCCUAGUGGUUUUGUAGCACCAGAUGUUUCAUCACAUGGAUCAACUCUCAGGUCAUUCUGUACCAGCAAAGAUUUGUCAGCUGAGAAAUGUGUCCCAUGCAACCGAAAGGGUUUGAGCCCUAUGACCGAAGAUAGUGCCAAUGCGUUGAAACCCAAGGUCCCUGAAUGGGAGUUGUUAAGCGAUGGUGGCAUAAUGAAGCUACGUCGAAAGUGGAAAGUUAAGAAUUUUCUCUUAGGGUUGGAGUUCUUUAAGAUCGUUGCUGACUUGGCUGAAUCUGAAGGCCAUCAUCCCGAUCUUCAUCUUGUUGGAUGGAACAACGUGACAAUCGAGAUAUGGACACAUGCUUGCGGUGGGCUCACGCAAAAUGAUUUCAUACUAGCUGCGAAGAUCGACAAGCUACCCGUCGAAUCUUAUCUUAAAUGAGUUUACUACAAGUUACCUGGAUUUUACAAGACUUUUAUAAUAUGCUGUUAGCCUGUUAGGUGGUUAUUUACGUAUUCUGUUUCUGUUUCUGUUUUUGUUUUAUUGAUCAUUAGUUGGUACCCUGGAGUAUGUUGAUCUUUAUGGUCUGGGUUUGUCGUGUUUCAUCGCGUGGGGAAUGCUUGAGGGGUUGAACGCGUUAUUUAAUUUUACAAAAUUUAGUCGAA